CCUACGGGUGGCAGCAGUAGGGAAUCUUUCACAAUGGGCGAAAGCCUGAUGGAGCAACGCCGCGUGCAGGAUGAAGGCCUUCGGGUUGUAAACUGCUUUUAUAAGCGAGAUAUAUGAUGGUAACUUAUGAUUAAGGCUCGGCUAACUUCGUGCCAGCAGCCGCGGUAAUACGGAGGAUUCAAGCGUUAUCCGGAUUUAUUGGGUUUAAAGGGUGCGUAGGCGGUCGGAUAAGUUAGAGGUGAAAUCCCGAGGCUCAACUUCGGAAUUGCCUCUGAUACUGUGCGGCUAGAGUGUAGUUGCGGUAGGCGGAAUGUAUGGUGUAGCGGUGAAAUGCUUAGAGAUCAUACAGAACACCGAUUGCGAAGGCAGCUUACCAAGCUACUACUGACGUUGAGGCACGAAAGCGUGGGGAGCAAACAGGAUUAGAUACCCCAGUAGUC
rnacentral:rRNA from 1 species